GGAAAAAGGAGUUGUUUUGGCGGAAGUUCCAUUGCCACCAAUCGAUCAGCUGGAUUGGACUACCGAAGGAGACUGCAUGAACUUUAUGAUCGAUAUUGAUGACUUGUUCUAAAAGAGGCCCUCUCUAUUUCGCUUUCAAUGAAAGUAUCUGAUUAAUAUCUGAUAACUUGGUUAUGUCGUUCUUUAAGACUAUAUUUAAAUUUCGGAUAUUGUUUUGGUUUAAGACUAUUUAAAUUUGGGAUAUUGUUCUGGUUUGAGAUUAUAUUUAAGUUUUGGAUAUUUGUUUUGGUUUUGACAUUAUAUUUAUAUUUUGGAUA